rnacentral:tRNA from 1 species
AGGAUAAUAGUUUAACCCAAAACAUUUAAAUUGCAUUUAAAAAUUAUUGAAAUCAAUUUAUCUUU